GGUAUAUGGUUCGGCAGCAUAUACUAAAACUGAAAGGAUACAGAGAAAAUUCGCAAGACCCCUGUGCAAGGGUGACACACAAGUUCAUGAAGCACUCCAUAUUUUC